rnacentral:rRNA from 1 species
CACGUAGGCCCCAAGCGUUGUCCGGAAUUAUUGGGCGUAAAGAGCUCGUAGGCGGUUUGUCGCGUCUGCUGUGAAAACUCGGGGCUUAACCCCGGGCCUGCAGUGGGUACGGGCAGACUAGAGUGCGGUAGGGGAGACUGGAAUUCCUGGUGUAGCGGUGAAAUGCGCAGAUAUCAGGAGGAACACCGGUGGCGAAGGCGGGUCUCUGGGCCGUAACUGACGCUGAGGAGCGAAAGCGUGGGGAGCGAACAGG